CCUACGGGGGGCAGCAAUUAGGAAUCUUGCGCAAUGGGGGAAACCCUGACGCAGCGACGCCGCGUGAAGGAUGAAGGCCUUCGGGUUGUAAACUUCUUUUAUCGAGGAGACGGUACUCGAUGAAUAAGCCACGGCUAACUCCGUGCCAGCAGCCGCGGUAAUACGGAGGUGGCGAGCGUUGUCCGAAUUUACUGGGCGUAAAGCGCGCGUAGGCGGGUUGUUAAGUCCGCUGUGAAAGCCCGGAGCUCAACUCCGGAGGGUCGGUGGAUACUGGCAAUCUUGAAGGUGCUAGGGGGAAGUGGAAUUACCGGUGUAGCGGUGAAAUGCGUAGAUAUCGGUAGGAACACCAGUGGCGAAGGCGGCUUCCUGGGCCUCUUGACGCUGAGGCGCGAAAGCUGGGGGAGCGAACGGGAUUAGAUACCCUUGUAGUC
rnacentral:rRNA from 1 species